GACGAACGCUGGCGGCGUGCUUAACACAUGCCAGUCGAACGGAAAGGCCUCUUUCGGGGGGUACUCGAGUGGCGAACGGGUGAGUAACACGUGAGUAACCUGCCCUUGACUUUGGGAUAACUUCAGGAAACUGGGGCUAAUACCGGAUAGGAGCUCCUGCUGCAUGGUGGGGGUUGGAAAGUUUCGGCGGUUGGGGAUGGGUUCGCGGCUUAUCAGCUUGUUGGUGGGGGAUUGGCUUACCAAGGCUUUGACGGGUAGCCGGACUGGGAGGGUGACCGGCCACAUUGGGACUGGGAGUCGGCCCAGACUCCUACGGGGGGGAGAAGUGGGGAAGAUUGAAAAAUGGGUGGGAGCCUGAUGCAGCAACGCCGUGGGCGGGAUGACGGUCUUCGGGUUGUAAACCGCUUUCGCUCAUGACGGAGCUUUGUGUGACGGUAGUGGGUAAAGAAGCACCGGCUAACUACGUG
rnacentral:rRNA from 1 species